UAAGAUAUAUUAAUUAUUUAAUAAUUUUUAAGUGCAAUUUAAAUGUUUUUAAAACUUAUAUCCU
rnacentral:tRNA from 1 species